rnacentral:rRNA from 2 species
ACUGCAGUCGAACGAUGAACCACUUCGGUGGGGAUUAGUGGCGAACGGGUGAGUAACACGUGGGCAAUCUGCCCUGCACUCUGGGACAAGCCCUGGAAACGGGGUCUAAUACCGGAUACUGACCCGCUUGGGCAUCCAAGCGGUUCGAAAGCUCCGGCGGUGCAGGAUGAGCCCGCGGCCUAUCAGCUUGUUGGUGAGGUAAUGGCUCACCAAGGCGACGACGGGUAGCCGGCCUGAGAGGGCGACCGGCCACACUGGGACUGAGACACGGCCCAGACUCCUACGGGAGGCAGCAGUGGGGAAUAUUGCACAAUGGGCGAAAGCCUGAUGCAGCGACGCCGCGUGAGGGAUGACGGCCUUCGGGUUGUAAACCUCUUUCAGCAGGGAAGAAGCGAAAGUGACGGUACCUGCAGAAGAAGCGCCGGCUAACUACGUGCCAGCAGCCGCGGUAAUACGUAGGGCGCGAUCGUUGUCCGGAAUUAUUGGGCGUAAAGAGCUCGCACGUGGCUUUUCACGCCGGAUGUGAAACC